UGAGGAAUAUUGGUCAAUGGGCGAGAGCCUGAACCAGCCAAGUAGCGUGAAGGAUGACCGCCCUAUGGGUUGUAAACUUCUUUUAUAUGGGAAUAAAGGGUGCCACGUGUGGCAUUUUGUAUGUACCAUAUGAAUAAGGAUCGGCUAACUCCGUGCCAGCAGCCGCGGUAAUACGGAGGAUCCGAGCGUUAUCCGGAUUUAUUGGGUUUAAAGGGAGCGUAGGUGGACAUGUAAGUCAGUUGUGAAAGUUUGCGGCUCAACCGUAAAAUUGCAGUUGAAACUGCGUGUCUUGAGUACAGUAGAGGUGGGCGGAAUUCGUGGUGUAGCGGUGAAAUGCUUAGAUAUCACGAAGAACUCCGAUUGCGAAGGCAGCUCACUGGACUGCAACUGACACUGAUGCUCGAAAGUGUGGGUAUCAAACAGGAUUAGAUACCCUGGUAGUCCACACAGUAAACGAUGAAUACUCGCUGUUUGCGAUAUACAGUAAGCGGCCAAGCGAAAGCAUUAAGUAUUCCACCUGGGGAGUACGCCGGCAACGGUGAAACUCAAAGGAAUUGACGGGGGCCCGCACAAGCGGAGGAACAUGUGGUUUAAUUCGAUGAUACGCGAGGAACCUUACCCGGGCUUAAAUUGCAAAUGAAUAUGCCGGAAACGGCAUAGCCGCAAGGCAUUUGUGAAGGUGCUGCAUGGUUGUCGUCAGCUCGUGCCGUGAGGUGUCGGCUUAAGUGCCAUAACGAGCGCAACCCUUAUCUUCAGUUACUAACAGGUCAUGCUGAGGACUCUGGAGAGACUGCCGUCGUAAGAUGUGAGGAAGGUGGGGAUGACGUCAAAUCAGCACGGCCCUUACGUCCGGGGCUACACACGUGUUACAAUGGUAGGUACAGAGGGCAGCUACCCAGCGAUGGGAUGCGAAUCUCGAAAGCCUAUCUCAGUUCGGAUUGGAGGCUGAAACCCGCCUCCAUGAAGUUGGAUUCGCUAGUAAUCGCGCAUCAGCCAUGGCGCGGUGAAUACGUUCCC
rnacentral:rRNA from 1 species